AGGUUUGUGAAAUUUGAUGUCUGGGACUUAGCUGUUACCAAGCUGCGGUCAAAACCGGUUUCUCUGAAAUAUCCCCGAGACCAAACAAAGCUUUGUUGUUCGUGGGUUUAUUUGGAAAGCUCGAUUGUACGUUUUGGCACCUGCAUGUACUAUAUUAUGUUAGCCUAACAUGUGUAGCAGGGAAUCUCCGCCUUCUCGCAAAUUUUAGUAGUCACUAUCAAACUGUUUAACUUUCAUUGCUUGGAUGAUUGCAAUUUGAGGCGAGGUCCUGAAAUUUUAAAUGACGCCGAAUACGGUAGCCGCUCGAUGCGACUGGACCACAGUCUGGUAUACGAGAACUUGUAGCCGCACGCACUGCUCCUUGUGUGUAAAGUCUGUGAUAUUCGGCUGGGUGACAGCGACCGGACCUGAUAGUGCUGGAAUUCAUCGAGAGGCCACAGCGACAGCGUACAGACUACAGCGCGAAGUCAAAACAGUGGGCCCUGGUGUGAACUGAUCUCCGCAAUGUCUGCAUGAGCCAUUUCUAGCGGGAAGAUAGUUUACGGUGCAGUAUAUUACAGUGGCAUUAACAUCCACAGGUCUUGGCCGAUAACACCAUACAUGGUAACCAACG